UACGUAGGGCGCAAGCGUUGUCCGGAAUUAUUGGGCGUAAAGAGCUCGUAGGCGGCUUGUCACGUCGGGUGUGAAAGCCCGGGGCUUAACCCCGGGUCUGCAUUCGAUACUGGCUCGCUAGAGUGCGGUAGAGGAGAGUGGAAUUCCCGGUGUAGCAGUGAAAUGCGUAGAGAUCGGGAGGAACAUCAGUUGCGAAGGCGGCUCUCUGGACCAGCACUGACACUGAGGCACGAAAGCGUGGGGAGCAAACAGG
rnacentral:rRNA from 1 species